AUUUAUCUGAUCAGAAAAAGACUGCAGAUUCCUUUGCAUCUAUCAUUACUGAAAAUGAAGAAAAACCUUCAUAUGAGAAACUAGAAGCAAGAGAACUCAUUGUUUAUCUGGAAAAUCAGCAUAUUCCCUCACAAGAAAAUUCCGAAGAAGCAUGGCGGAUCUUAAAAAAUUAUUUAACCGCUAAUGUUUACGUGGCAGGAGAAUCCUACAAAACACGGACUUAUUAUGAGCAAAUUUUAAUUAACACCGCCAGUGCCACUUUUGAGCACAGCCCUCUCGGUGAGUCCACCCCCGGAGUACAUGGCUACUCUAAAAUAGUCAUCAAAAAGCUUAUCCCUAUUGAAGAAUGGGGAAUUUCCUCUAUGACGCAACGGAGCCUUCCCAUGGGACCGCAAGGACAGACUAUGGCAAAUUUCACCUACUGGGAUUACAUCAAAGCCUUUACCUCUGUAUUAUACUAUAAUAAUUACAAACAUAAACAUACCUGGUUCAUCAAAAUUUGUCCCAAAGUUUUUGAGAAACCAAUUCCAAAUUGGUUCAUUCAUUGGUGGACAAAUCACGGCCCAUCGGUCAAAAUUCUGCCCACAGAAUAUGCUUCCCUAUAUAACUCUUGGAAAAAAUCCUCUCCAUUUCUAACCGAAUUAUAUCUAUCUGACCAUAUCUGCAAAUUAGACACAAUCGAUCAAAUGUAUUUUUAUAUUGAAUUCUCUAUUCCCUGGAUGAAAAUAUUCGAAAUCCAGACCUUACUAUAAAUCCAAACACUCUAGGCAUCGGAGUAAGGAAGAGCGCGAAGCUCGAAAGUCCUUCCGAAAGUCUACUAGAUUUGCUAAAAAUCAUUCGAAACGUGAUUUAGCAAAAAUCAAAUGCUAUAAAUGUCAUCAAUACGGUCAUAUUGCUCCCAAUUGCAAAUUGCAAAAACUUAAGUCAUUAGGACUUUCUGACGAAGUUCAUGACCAAGUCUAUAAUUUAUUAUAUACCUCUGACUCUGAAUCAGCUUCUAAUUCUGAAAAUGAUUUUGAAUUACCUAAUUCCGAUAGCGAGCAAAAUCAGACUAAUAAAUGUGAUGACUGUAAUAAUGAUUUGUGCAAUUGUGAUGAAAUGAUGUACAAACUCCAAGCGCAAUUCGAAGACCUAGACCUUGAUGUUAAAACUCUCACCGCUGAAAAUAUUCUUGAAUUACUUAAAGAAGUUUCGGACGAAAAACUUCGUGAGAAAAUCCUCAAUCUUGCUACCCAAAAAACUUCUGCUUCUUCUAGUACGUCUAGAGAUAACACUUUCGAAAAUCCAUCUAUGUCUUAUUCUUUAGCUGAAGUAAACCGACGGCUUGCUAUAAGUAAAACUCCUGGUAGAGACACCACUUUUGACGAUUUAAAACUCGAAGUUGAAAAACUCAAAAGGGAAAUUAUUUCGCUACAACAAAAUCAAAUGGUUACUAAUCAUCGACUUUCAAAACUCGAAGAAACAGCGAACUUUUCACAAGGAAAAGAAAAGGAUUUUGAAAUCUCAAAAAAUUCUGAGGAUACUCUUCACCUUGAAAAUUAUAAUACCAAAAAUUUAAAAAAUGAUUCUUUUCUAGGGAUGAUGCAAAUUGUCUCUUCCCAUAAAUGGUAUAUUAAUUGUACCAUAUUAAUUAAUAAAAACUUCUUUAUUACUAAUGUUGCUAUGAUUGAUAGUGGUGCGGACGUUAGUUGUAUUCAAGAAGGUCUGAUUCCCACCAAAUAUUUUGAAAAAACUACUCAUGUUAUUAGAUCUGCGUCUGGACAUUCUCUUGAUAUUAAUUAUAAACUACCUAACACGCAUAUUUGUCGAGACAAGGUAUGUAUUCCUCAUUUCUUUUUCUUGGUCAAAAAUCAAAUUUAUCCGCCUAUUAUUUUAGGUACUCCUUUCAUAAAUGCUAUUUAUCCCUAUACGCAUAUUGAUGCCAGAGGUUUUACGGCUACAUAUAAAAAUCAGCCAAUUUCGUAUCCCUUUAUUACUCAUCCAGUCACUAGGGACAUAAACGCUCUUACUAAUAUAAAGCAAAGUCAGCUUAAUUUCUUACAAUUAGAAAUAAUGAGCAUUAAUAUUGCCGACACCAUGAAAUCGGUUAAAAUAAAAGAAAAAAUAAAAACUAUUUCUUCCCAAUUAAUGCUUGACAUCUGUGCUGAUCAUCCAAACGCGUUCUGGAAUCGAAAGAAACAUAUUGUUUCUCUUCCAUAUGAAGAAAAUUUCAGCGAAGACAAGAUCCCUACCAAAUCUCGACCCUGUCAAAUGAAUACAAACUUGGUCGAAUUCUGCAAAACAGAAAUUGAUAGUCUCCUUCAAAAGGGACUUAUUAAACCCUCCAAAUCUCCUUGGUCUUGUACUGCUUUUUAUGUUAAUAAUGCUGCUGAAAAGGAACGGGGUAUUCCUCGGCUAGUUAUCAAUUAUAAACCUCUGAAUAAAGUUUUUAUCAUUUACAGGAUCUCUUAGGCCGCGGCUGGCCGCGGCCUACCAGACCAAGCAAUAAUAUCGGAUUAAGCUAAAGUCGGAAAACCGAACCGAAGCACCAACUGAAAUAACAAAGAAAUUUCAGAGUUUCUGACUGUAUGGUAAAUCUUUUACCCGAACAAGGGGCCUGUCAGAGAUCAAACCGUUUUUUGUUAGCCCAUGUGUCUAGUUGUUCUAAUUGUGCAAAAAUCGCCCUUCUUUUCAGGUGUACGGGCUUCAAGGGCACAACUCACUAGACGGAGUCACAGAGACAGAGCUGUCGUAAAACUGUUGAUCUCGACUGUACCUCCAUUUCGGAACCAAGUCGGGAAACUAUAAAACUUCUUAUAUUAUCUAAGUAGAGUCUGGAUCUUUCAUAGUUCGUAUACUUCGAGAGGUUAGAGCUGUUGUAUGAACAUAAAAAGGAGUCUAGCCGGACAUAGUCACGGCGUAGAUCUGGGAGAAUUAAGGAAGAUAAUAAAGUAAAAAGUAAAAAUUAAAUAUGUAUGUACCUUGCCGGAGAGUCGCCGGACUAUAUCCACAAAGCCAACUUUAAACUUUUAUUGCUUUCUUAAGAUUAUUACAAGAGAAAAGGAGAGAAAUCCUAUUAAUUCCUGCUUGAGAGUAAGUAUGAACAUUGGAAAGCUAAAUUCAUUGACGGACUUCCCCCUCUAUUUGCUGAACGUGUUUGAAAAACUCUUAGAGGCUCUUAUGGCGAAAUUCCUUAUUCUGAAAAAACUUAUGGUCAACUAAUUGUCGCUUGUACACAAGAAGGCUUAGCCCUCUGUAAUGAGCUAAAGUUAGCUAGACAAGUCAAGCUAGAUAAGCUCAGAGAAAAAUCUCAAUUGGGCGACUUCUGUGAACAAUUUGGCAUGGAUAAACCCUUGGUUCAAAAAUCCCGCAAAUAUUCGAAAUCCAGACCUUACUAUAAAUCCAAACACUCUAGGCAUCGGAGUAAGGAAGAGUGCGAAGCUCGAAAGUCCUUCCGAAAGUCUACUAGAUUUGCUAAAAAUCAUUCGAAGCGUGAUUUAGCAAAAAUCAAAUGCUAUAAGUGUCAUCAAUAUGGUCAUAUUGCUCCCAAUUGCAAAUUGCAAAAACUUAAGUCAUUAAGACUUUCUGAAGAAGUUCAUGACCAAGUCUAUAAUUUAUUAUAUACCUCUGACUCUGAAUCAGCUUCUAAUUCUGAAAAUGAUUUUGAAUUACCUAAUUCCGAUAGCGAGCAAAAUCAGACUAAUAAAUGUGAUGACUGUAAUAAUGAUUUGUGCAAUUGUGAUGAAAUGAUGUACAAACUCCAAGCGCAAUUCGAAGACUUAGACCUUGAUGUUAAGACUCUCACCGCUGAAAAUAUUCUUGAAUUACUUAAAGAAGUUUCGGACGAAAAACUUCGUGAGAAAAUCCUCAAUCUUGCUACCCAAAAAACUUCUGCUUCUUCUAGUACGUCUAGAGAUAACACUUUCGAAAAUCCAUCUAUGUCUUAUUCUUUAGCUGAAGUAAAUCGGCGGCUUGCUAUAAGUAAAACUCCUGGUAGAGACACCACUUUUGACGAUUUAAAACUCGAAGUUGAAAAACUCAAAANNN
rnacentral:lncRNA from 1 species